GCUCAUUAAUUUGUAAAAGCUCUUUAGCAUCAAGGAACUUACCACCAGACAGGUUUGCACCCCUCUUCUGCAACAAACUGAGUUCAUGGAAGACAGAUAUGCUCAUACUGGUUAUUAAUCUGGAGAAGGAAUAGACAAGAACUGCCCCUAGGUUAAAAAACAUUUAACUUUUAGCAGGUGAAAGAAGCAAAAAUAUAACGGUUAAAUAACAUUUUUAGUGUCUCGCUAGGAGAUAAUACCUUUGGCCACAGAAUAUCCAAACUGGAUUUUGGCAUGUCUUCAUGAUAUGCUUCCUUUUACUGAGGCAUAUGUCGAACGUGACUAACAAACUGGAAGGAUGCACAAAUUCAGACCACAAAAUAUUUGUAAUCAUUUCUCAGUAAUCUCAAGACCAACUUAAAAGGUCGUAAAUCAUAAUAUGCAUGUACAAAAUUGGUAACCAAAAGGAGAAAAAUAUGAAGAAGAAAAAAGCAGUAAGAAAGAAAAUACAUGAAAAAUUAACUAACAUUUAUAUAUUGCAUCGAAACAGAGAAAAUAUUGAAUUGAGAAGGGGGAAAAGAGUUGAGUCUUACAUGCAAUAAAUACGUACAAAGUUGAGUCACUUUUAACAUCAUGUCUAUGGCGGAUGGCAAAGAGUGUUUGAAGACUCUUCUGAAAUUGUCUUUGAUUAUGCUUAUCAUAAACGGUUGAAGAAGAAAUUAAAAGCACGAAAAGCAACCCAGAGAAAAAGGACAAAGAUAAGGAAAAAUAGAUAGAAAGAGCUAAACAACAGUUUAAUAGAAGAUCGGCGGCAUUACCUAGGGGCAAGGCGAUGGUGUUUCUCUGAAAGAGGGAGAAGAGAACGAUGGAGGAGCAGUAAGACGCCAAAAUAUGUGUCCUAA
rnacentral:lncRNA from 1 species